UACAGGGGGUGCAAACGUUGCUCGGAAUCAUUGGGCGUAAAGCGCACGUAGGCGGUUCGUUAUGUCGGAUGUGAAAGCCCUUGGCUUAACCGAGGAAGUGCAUCCGAAACUGGCGAGCUAGAGUACGAAAGAGGAUCGCGGAAUUCCCGGUGUAGAGGUGAAAUUCGUAGAUAUCGGGAGGAACACCGGUGGCGAAGGCGGCGAUCUGGGUCGAUACUGACGCUGAGGUGCGAAGGCGUGGGGAGCGAACAGG
rnacentral:rRNA from 1 species